GCCAGGCAUGGUGGCGCGUGCCUGUAGUCCCAGCUACUCAGGAGGCUGAGGCAGAAGAAUCGCUCGAACCCGGGAGGCAGAGGUUGCAGUGAGCUGAGAUCACACCACUGCACUCCAGCCUGGGUGACAGAGUGAGACUCUGUCUUAA
rnacentral:SRP_RNA from 1 species